rnacentral:tRNA from 1 species
GGGGCUGUAGCUCAGUGGUAGAGCGCUUGCCUUGCACAUAUGAGGCAAUGGGUUCAAUUCUCAGCACCA